rnacentral:tRNA from 1 species
CCGGGAUAGCUCAGUUGGUAGAGCAGAGRWCUGAAAAUCCUCGUGUCA